GAUGGACCCGCGGUGCAUUAGCUAGUUGGUGAGGUAACGGCUCACCAAGGCCACGAUGCAUAGCCGACCUGAGAGGGUGAUCGGCCACAUUGGGACUGAGACACGGCCCAAACUCCUACGGGAGGCAGCAGUAGGGAAUCUUCGGCAAUGGACGAAAGUCUGACCGAGCAACGCCGCGUGAGUGAAGAAGGUUUUCGGAUCGUAAAACUCUGUUGUUAGAGAAGAACAAGGAUGAGAGUAACUGUUCAUCCCUUGACGGUAUCUAACCAGAAAGCCACGGCUAACUACGUGCCAGCAGCCGCGGUAAUACGUAGGUGGCAAGCGUUGUCCGGAUUUAUUGGGCGUAAAGCGAGCGCAGGCGGUUUCUUAAGUCUGAUGUGAAAGCCCCCGGCUCAACCGGGGAGGGUCAUUGGAAACUGGGAGACUUGAGUGCAGAAGAGGAGAGUGGAAUUCCAUGUGUAGCGGUGAAAUGCGUAGAUAUAUGGAGGAACACCAGUGGCGAAGGCGGCUCUCUGGUCUGUAACUGACGCUGAGGCUCGAAAGCGUGGGGAGCAAACAGGAUUAGAUACCCUGGUAGUCCACGCCGUAAACGAUGAGUGCUAAGUGUUGGAGGGUUUCCGCCCUUCAGUGCUGCAGCUAACGCAUUAAGCACUCCGCCUGGGGAGUACGACCGCAAGGUUGAAACUCAAAGGAAUUGACGGGGGCCCGCACAAGCGGUGGAGCAUGUGGUUUAAUUCGAAGCAACGCGAAGAACCUUACCAGGUCUUGACAUCCUUUGACCACUCUAGAGAUAGAGCUUCCCCUUCGGGGGCAAAGUGACAGGUGGUGCAUGGUUGUCGUCAGCUCGUGUCGUGAGAUGUUGGGUUAAGUCCCGCAACGAGCGCAACCCUUAUUGUUAGUUGCCAUCAUUCAGUUGGGCACUCUAGCAAGACUGCCGGUGACAAACCGGAGGAAGGUGGGGAUGACGUCAAAUCAUCAUGCCCCUUAUGACCUGGGCUACACACGUGCUACAAUGGGAAGUACAACGAGUUGCGAAGUCGCGAGGCUAAGCUAAUCUCUUAAAGCUUCUCUCAGUUCGGAUUGCAGGCUGCAACUCGCCUGCAUGAAGCCGGAAUCGCUAGUAAUCGCGGAUCAGCACGCCGCGGUGAAUACGUUCCCGGGCCUUGUACACACCGCCCGUCACACCACGAGAGUUUGUAACACCCG
rnacentral:rRNA from 1 species